UACAGAGGGGGCAAGCGUUGUUCGGAAUUACUGGGCGUAAAGGGCGCGUAGGCGGGUGCUCAAGUCCGGGGUGAAAUCCCACAGCUCAACUGUGGAACUGCCUCGGAUACUGGGUGUCUCGAGGGUGGCAGGGGUAUGCGGAACUAUCGGUGGAGCGGUGAAAUGCGUUGAUAUCGAUAGGAACUCCGGUGGCGAAGGCGGCAUACUGGUCCACUUCUGACGCUGAGGCGCGAAAGCCAGGGGAGCAAACGGG
rnacentral:rRNA from 1 species